AGAGUUUGAUCAUGGCUCAGAUUGAACGCUGGCGGUAUGCUUAACACAUGCAAGUCGAACGGUAGCAGGCCUUCGGGCGCUGACGAGUGGCGGACGGGUGAGUAACGCGUAGGAAUCUGCCUAGUAGUGGGGGACAACUUAGGGAAACUUAAGCUAAUACCGCAUACGCCCUACGGGGGAAAGCGGGGGAUCUUCGGACCUCGCGCUAUUAGAUGAGCCUGCGUUGGAUUAGCUAGUUGGUGGGGUAAAGGCCUACCAAGGCGACGAUCCAUAGCUGGUCUGAGAGGACGAUCAGCCACACUGGGACUGAGACACGGCCCAGACUCCUACGGGAGGCAGCAGUGGGGAAUAUUGGACAAUGGGCGAAAGCCUGAUCCAGCAAUACCGCGUGUGUGAAGAGGGCCUGAGGGUUGUAAAGCACUUUCAAUAGGAAGGAAUACCUAUCGGCGAAUACCCGGUAGACUGACAUUACCUAUACAAGAAGCACCGGCUAACUCCGUGCCAGCAGCCGCGGUAAUACGGAGGGUGCAAGCGUUAAUCGGAAUUACUGGGCGUAAAGCGUGCGUAGGCGGUUCGUUAAGUCAGAUGUGAAAGCCCCGGGCUUAACCUGGGAAUGGCAUUUGAAACUGGCGGACUAGAGUUUAAUAGAGGGGAGUGGAAUUUCAGGUGUAGCGGUGAAAUGCGUAGAGAUCUGAAGGAACACCAGUGGCGAAGGCGACUCCCUGGAUUAAAACUGACGCUGAGGUACGAAAGCGUGGGUAGCAAACAGGAUUAGAUACCCUGGUAGUCCACGCCGUAAACGAUGUCAACUAGCCGUUGGGUCUAUUUAUAGACUUAGUGGCGCAGCUAACGCAUUAAGUUGACCGCCUGGGGAGUACGGCCGCAAGGUUAAAACUCAAAUGAAUUGACGGGGGCCCGCACAAGCGGUGGAGCAUGUGGUUUAAUUCGAUGCAACGCGAAGAACCUUACCUACCCUUGACAUGUCUGAAAUCCCUGAGAGAUCGGGGAGUGCCUUCGGGAAUCAGAACACAGGUGCUGCAUGGCUGUCGUCAGCUCGUGCCGUGAGAUGUUGGGUUAAGUCCCGUAACGAGCGCAACCCUUAUCCUUAGUUGCCAGCGCGUAAUGGCGGGAACUCUAGGGAGACUGCCGGUGAUAAACCGGAGGAAGGUGGGGACGACGUCAAGUCAUCAUGGCCCUUAUGGGUAGGGCUACACACGUGCUACAAUGGUCGGUACAGAGGGCUGCGAACUUGCGAAAGUAAGCAAAUCCCAGAAAGCCGAUCUUAGUCCGGAUUGCAGUCUGCAACUCGACUGCAUGAAGUCGGAAUCGCUAGUAAUCGCGAAUCAGAAUGUCGCGGUGAAUACGUUCCCGGGCCUUGUACACACCGCCCGUCACACCAUGGGAGUGGGUUGCAAAAGAAGUAGGUAGUCUAACCUUCGGGAGGGCGCUUACCACUUUGUGAUUCAUGACUGGGGUGAAGUCGUAACAAGGUAAAGGG
rnacentral:rRNA from 1 species